rnacentral:rRNA from 1 species
AUUGAACGCUGGCGGCAGGCCUAACACAUGCAAGUCGAACGAGUGGCGGACGGGUGAGUAAUGUCUGGGAAACUGCCUGAUGGAGGGGUAUAAAUACGGGAAACGGGAGCUAAAACCGCAAAACAUCGGAUGUGCCCAGAUGGGAUUAGCUAGUAGGUGGGGUAAAGGCUCACCUAGGCGACGAUCCCUAGCUGGUCUGAGAGGAUGACCAGCCACACUGUACCUGAGACACGGUCCAGACUCCUACGGGAGGCAGCAGUGGAGAAUAUUGCACAAUGGGCGCAAGCCUGAUGCAGCCAUGCCGCGUGUAUGAAGAAGGCCUUCGGGUUGUAAAGUACUUUCAGCGGGGAGGCGUUACCCGCAGAAGAAGCACCGGCUAACUCCGUGCCAGCAGCCGCGGUAAUAC